rnacentral:rRNA from 1 species
GAUGAACGCUGGCGGCAUGCCUAACACAUGCAAGUCGAUCGGUAAGGCUCUUCGGGCUACACGUGAGGCGGAGCGCUUAGUAACGCGUAGGAACACACCCUGCAGUCUAGGAUUAGGUACCGAAAGGCGUUCUAAUACCGCAUAUCGUCUCCGGAAUGACGCAUUUAUGCGCUGAAGGAGUGGGCGGCGUCUUAUUAGAUAGUUGGGGAGGUAAUGGCUUACCAAGUUGAGGGUGUGUAGCUGGGCUGAGAGGAUGAUCCGCCAGACUGGAACUGAGACACGGUCCAGAAUCCUACGGGAGGCAGCAGUGAGGAAUAUUUCACAAGGAGCGAAAGCUUGAAGGAGCAAUGCCGCGUGCAGGAUGAAGGCCCUCGGGUUGUAAACUGCUUUUAUAAGAGAAGAUUAUGACGGUAACUUAUGAAUAAGGGACGGCUAACUACGUG